rnacentral:rRNA from 1 species
GAAUUUAAUAAUAAAAUUUUUUAAAGAUAAAAAAUUAAUUAUUUAAUUGGGAGGAUUAUUAAAUUAAAAUAACUUUAAUAAAAAAAUUAAAUCAUUUAUUUAUGAAUUUUAUUUAAUAAAAUUUAUUUAAAUUAAAAUUAAUUACCUUAGGGAUAACAGCAUAAAAUUAUUUAUUAGAUCAUAUAUAAAAUAAUAUUUGU